rnacentral:rRNA from 1 species
AUCAACUUUCGACGGCUGGGUCUUGGCCAGCCAUGGUGACAACGGGUAACGGAGGGUUAGGGCUCGACCCCGGAGAAGGAGCCUGAGAAACGGCUACUACAUCCAAGGAAGGCAGCAGGCGCGCAAAUUACCCAAUCCCGAUACGGGGAGGUAGUGACAAUAAAUACUGAUACAGGGCUCUUUUGGGUCUUGUAAUUGGAAUGAGUACAAUUUAAAUCCCUUAACGAGGAACAAUUGGAGGGCAAGUCUGGUGCCAGCAGCCGCGGUAAUUCCAGCUCCAAUAGCGUAUAUUAAAGUUGUUGCAGUUAAAAAGCUCGUAGUUGAACCUUGGGCCUGGCUGGCCGGUCCGCCUCACCGCGUGCACUGGUCCGGCCGGGCCUUUCCCUCUGGGGAGCCGCAUGCCCUUCACUGGGUGUGUCGGGGAACCAGGACUUUUACUGUGAAAAAAUUAGAGUGUUCAAAGCAGGCCUAUGCUCGAAUACAUUAGCAUGGAAUAAUAGAAUAGGACGUGUGGUUCUAUUUUGUUGGUUUCUAGGACCGCCGUAAUGAUUAAUAGGGACAGUCGGGGGCAUCAGUAUUCAAUUGUCAGAGGUGAAAUUCUUGGAUUUAUUGAAGACUAACUACUGCGAAAGCAUUUGCCAAGGAUGUUUUCAUUAAUCAGGAACGAAAGUUAGGGGAUCGAAGACGAUCAGAUACCGUCGUAGUCUUAACCAUAAACUAUGCCGACUAGGGAUCGGGCGGUGUUAUUUUUUGACCCGCUCGGCACCUUAC